rnacentral:rRNA from 1 species
AUGGAGAGAAGUAGUGGGACGUCGCCUUUAGGAGAGCCCACCGUUCCAGUAAUCCCAAACUGUGCACCAACACUAUCAGUUGUGGAAUCGGCCAAUAGUGUCCAAAAUCAAGAUUUGAGUGAUGCUACCUCAUUUGCAGAAAUAAAUUCCCCAAUGCUUCUCAUUGAUGAUGCGAGUACACCAAAAAAGAAACAGGCCUUCUCUCAAGAGGGUUCUUUGUAUAAACCCCAAUGUGAUGAGGAAUUGAAGCCAAAAGUGGGGAUGCUAUUUGAUGACAUUGGCUCAGUAAUGGAAUUUUACAAGACAUAUGCACACCAUGUCGGAUUUGGUGUACGUCUUGGGCAGCAAAAGAUCGUAGAUAAUGUGCUUCUGUGGAAGCGCUUCUUGUGUGCAAAAGAAGGCUUUCGGCCCGAGAAAGGUAUGGUUGUUGUUGAUCAUUCCAAGAAAAGGCGAAAGGUGAAAUUGACUAGAUGUGGAUGUCAAGCUUUUAUCUAUGUCACUCGGGAAAGUGAUGGAAAAUAUAAGAUAGCUUCACUCAGUGAAUAUCACAAUCACCCUUUUGUGCCACCUAGCCAUCAACACUUGAUUAGAUCUAAUCGUCAAAUUAGCGAGAGGGUGAAGACAACACUCCAUGAUUGCCAGAAAGCUAGCAUCGGGACCGCCUUAGCAUAUAGGUUUCUUCAUGUUGGCGCAGGGGGUUUUCAGCAUGUUGGCUGCACCCAGAAGGACCUACAGAAUCACUAUGGUGGAUUGAAAAAUAAAAUUAAAAAUUACGACGCUCAAAUGCUAGUGGACCAAUUUGGUAGAUUGAAGGCUCUCAAUCCUACUUUUUUCUUUGACUAUGAAGUUGACGAGGUUGGUACAUUAGUUCGUUUGUUCUGGACGGAUGCGACAAGUAGGAAAAACUAUGGUCACUUCAAUGAUGUGGUAUCUUUUGAUUCAACAUACAACACUAACCAAUAUGAAUACACGUUUGCGCCCUUCACUGGAGUAAACCAUCAUAUGCAAAAUGUCUUUUUUGGGGCUGGGUUUCUACUUCAUGAGACAGCAGACUCCUAUAUUUGGUUGUUCAGGGCGUUUCUUACAGCAAUGAGUGGGAUUGCGCCUAGACUAAUCACAACAGACGAAUGUAGUAAGAUGAGGAACGCAAUUAAAGAAACUCUGCCGAACACCGCGCAUCGAUUGUGUAUGUGGCACAUUAUGGAGAAAGUUCCUGGGAAGGUACGUCCUGAGUUGAAAAAUGACCUUGUAUUCUAUGAUAGGCUAAAACAUUGUGUGUGGAAUUCUGAAACCCCUGCUGAAUUUGAGGAUAGAUGGAAGUCUUUCAUCAUAGAUUUUAAGUUGGAGGACCAUGAGUGGUUCGCGAAAAGGUAUGAACUUUGUGCAACAUGGAUACUAGCUUACUUUAUGGAAAUUCCCCUAGCUGGUCUUCUCAAGACAACUUCAAUUUCAGAGAGCGCAAACUCAUUUUUUAAGCGUUUCAUCUGUCGCAAGCUUAACUCCGCCUAUGUUGUCUCAACAUAG